GCCACAUGGUGGGCUGUUGUGAGGACCGGCCAAGUGUCAAGAAACAAAUUGGUCUUCCGUGCCAGCCUUCAUCGGCCACUGAAAGCACCAACGGCUGUGAUGCCGUGCAUGAGUUUGGACGGUCAGAUGAUGGGCAAAAUUCAGUUAAGAUCUUCUCUUCACAACUUCGUCUUCAUCUCUUAAAACCCAAAAUUCCAGUUAAACAAGUGAGUGAAAGGGGAGGUUGAGAGCAGAAAACAGUAGAGAGAGGGAGCGAGUGACGCACCAGAACAGAGUAUACAUUUGGCGUGCGUAACAGAGAGGGGAAACUUCUUCUUCUCGCCGAGGCAUGCAGCACCAAGGUGUUGCUGCUGUUGGGCGUAUAUUGUUCUGUAGCUUACGGGCAUGCGUGGGACGUUGCUGGACACCCAGAACAGUUCAGAAAUGGCCCUUGAGCACGGGAUGAGUUAAAC